UAGAUACUCCUUCCAUCCCAAAUUACUUGUCGUAGAAAUUGAUAGAAAAGGAUGUAAUUAGAACUUAAAAUACGUCUAGAUACAUCCAUUUCCGUGACAAGUAAUUCUAGACGGAGGGAGUAUAAU
rfam:Triticum aestivum genome assembly, contig: Triticum_aestivum_CS42_TGACv1_scaffold_081142_1DS